rnacentral:rRNA from 1 species
AACGAACGCUGGCGGCAUGCCUAACACAUGCAAGUCGAACGAGACCUUCGGGUCUAGUGGCGCACGGGUGCGUAACGCGUGGGAACCUGCCCUUAGGUUCGGAAUAACUCCCCGAAAGGGGUGCUAAUACCGGAUAAUGUCUCCGGACCAAAGAUUUAUCGCCUUUGGAUGGGCCCGCGUUGGAUUAGCUAGUUGGUAAGGUAAAGGCUAACCAAGGCGACGAUCCUUAGCUGGUCUGAGAGGAUGAUCAGCCACACUGGGACUGAGACACGGCCCAGACUCCUACGGGAGGCAGCAGUGGGGAAUAUUGGACAAUGGGCGAAAGCCUGAUCCAGCAAUGCCGCGUGAGUGAUGAAGGCCUUAGGGUUGUAAAGCUCUUUUACCCGGGAUGAUAAUGACAGUACCGGGAGAAUAAGCCCCGGCUAACUCCGUG